rnacentral:rRNA from 1 species
GGAUGAGCCCGCGGCCUAUCAGCUUGUUGGUGGGGUAAUGGCCUACCAAGGCGGCGACGGGUAGCCGGCCUGAGAGGGUGUACGGCCACAUUGGGACUGAGAUACGGCCCAGACUCCUACGGGAGGCAGCAGUGGGGAAUAUUGCACAAUGGGCGCAAGCCUGAUGCAGCGACGCCGCGUGGGGGAUGAAGGCCUUCGGGUUGUAAACUCCUUUCGCUAGGGACGAAGCUUUGUUGUGACGGUACCUAGAUAAGAAGCACCGGCUAACUACGUGCCAGCAGCCGCGGUAAUACGUAGGGUGCGAGCGUUGUCCGGAAUUACUGGGCGUAAAGGGCUCGUAGGUGGUUUGUCGCGUCGUCUGUGAAAUUCUGGGGCUUAACUCCGGGCGUGCAGGCGAUGCGGGCAUAGCUUGAGUGCUGUA